UACGUAGGGUGUGAGCGUUGUCCGGAAUUAUUGGGCGUAAAGGGCUCGUAGGCGGUCUGUCACGUCGGGAGUGAAAACACGGGGCUUAACCCCGUGCCUGCUUCCGAUACGGGCAAACUAGAGGUAUGCAGGGGAGAACGGAAUUCCUGGUGUAGCGGUGAAAUGCGCAGAUAUCAGGAGGAACACCGGUGGCGAAGGCGGCCAGCUGGCGCUGACCUGACGCUGAGGCGCGAAGGCGUGGGGAGCGAACGGG
rnacentral:rRNA from 1 species